rnacentral:lncRNA from 1 species
AGAGGCGGAGAGGAACCAAAGAGGCGAGGUCCGGGAGACCGAAACAGGGCGGUUUCCACAGAGACCCCAGACGCAGUCUUGGCUCCACCCUCACCGCGGCCCAGGGCUAAUACUGGACUUCUUUCCUUAUCGCUGUAGAAAAAACUAGUUAAGCCUGCUAGAUUCUGACCGAUUUCACUCUGACAUUGGAAAGGGUCCCACAAAGAAUUAGGUUCCACCGUUAUAGGUGCUAGCUUACAGCAGCGGUUCUCAGACUUUUGGCCUUAGGACUUAUUUACAAAACUCUUAAAAACAGUUGAGGAGCACAAAGACCAUUUGCUUUUUGUGGGUUUUCUCUCACUUUUAAUUUUUUUUUAUUUCAAUAGUUUUGGGUGUACAGGCGGGUUUUGGUUACAUGGAUGAGCUCUUGAGUGGCGAAUUCCGAGAUUUUAGUGUACCCGUCAUCCACCAGUGUACACUGUACCCAAUAUGUAGUAUUUUAUCCCUCACCCCGCUCCCAAUCUCCUGCCUACCUGGAGUUCCCAGAAUCCAUUCUAUCACUCUGUAUGUCUUUGCAUCUUCAUAACUGAACAUGCAGUAUUUGGUUUUCUAUUCCUAAGUUACUUCACUUAGAAUAAUGGCCUCCAGCUCCAUCCAAGUGCUGCCAAAAGAUAUUAUUUCGUUCCUUUUUAUGGCUGAGUAGUAUUCAAUGGUGUAUAUAUACUACAUUUUCUUUAUCCACUCGUUAGUCAAUGGGCACUUAGGUUGGUCCCUUAUCUUUGCAAUUGCGACUUAUGCUGCUAUAAACAUGCGUGUAUAUGUGUCUUUUUCCUUUGGGUAGAUACCCAGUAGUGGGAUUGCUGGAUUGAAUGGUAGCUCCACCUUUAUUUAUUUAUUUAAGGAAACUUUAUACUGUUUUCCAUAGUGGUGGUAUUAAUUUACAUCCCCCAAGCAGUGCAAAAGUGUUCCCUUUUCACCAUAUCGACGCCAACAUAUAUUUUCUAAAAAAAAAUUUUUUUUUUUAAGACAGUCUUGCUCUUGUCCCCCAGGCUGGAGUGCAAUGGCACUAUCUCGGCUCACUGCAACCUCCGGCUCCCGGGUUCAAGUGAUUCUCCUGCCUCAGCCUCCCGAGUAGCUGGGAUUACAGGUGCCCGCCACCACGCCUGGCUGAUUUUUGUAUUUUUAGUAGAAACAGGGUUUUGCCAUGUUGGCCAGGCUGGUCUUGAACUCCUGACCUCGUGAUCCGCCUGCCUCAUGGCCAUUAUUGCAGGAGUAAGGUGGUAUCUCACUGUGGUUUUAAUUUGCAUUUCCCUGGUGAUUUAGUGAUGUUGAGCAUCUUUUCAUAUUUGUUGGCUAUUUGUAUAUCUUCUUUUGAAAAAUGUCCUUUGCCCACUUUUUGAUGGGAUUGUUUUUUUCUAGCUGAUUUGUUUGAGUUCCUUGUAGAUUCUAGGUACAAGUCCUUUAUCAGAUGCACAGUUUGAAAAUAUUUUCUUUUACUCUAUGGGCUGUUUACUGAUUAUUUCUUUUGCUGUGCAGAAGCUUUUUAGUUUAUUUAGGUCCCAUUUAUUUAUUUUUGUUUUUGUUGCAUUUGGCUAAUGUCCAAAAGAGUUUUUCCAAUGUUAUCUUCUAAAAUUUGUGUGGUUUCAGGUCUUAGAUUUAAGUCUUUGAUUCAUCUUGAGUUGAUUUUUGUAUAAGGUGAGAGAUGGGAAUCCAGUUUCAUUCUUCUACCUGUGGCUAAACUAGUUUUCCCAGCACCAUUUAUUGAAUAGGGCGCCCUUUUCCCAAUUUAUGUUUUUGUAUGCUUUGUUGAAGAUCAGUUGACUGUAAGUACUUGGCUUUAUUUCUGGGUUCUCUAUUCUGUUCCAUUGGCCUAUGUGUCUUUAUUUAUUUAUUUAUUUUUAUUUUUAUUUUUUUUUACCAGUACCAUGCUGUUUUGGUAACUUGCCUUGCAGUAUAAUUUGAAGUGUGGUAACGUGAUGCCUCCAGAUUUGUUCUUUUUGCUUAUUAUUGCUUUGGCUAUUCAGGCUGUCUUUUGGUUCCAUAUGAAUUUUAGAUUUUUUUUUUUAGUUCUGUGAAAAGUAGUAAUGAUAUUUUGAUGGGAAUUGCACUGAAUCUGUAGAUUGCUUUGGAAAGUAUAAAGACCAUUUGUUUAUAUGAGUUACCUAUUGAUUUUUACCAUAUUAGACAUUAGAACUGAAAACAAUUAGUGUUUUUUUAAAACCUAUGACAAAUAUCUUAAUGAAAAAAAAUAUUUUCCAAAAUAAAAAAAUAAAAUGAAACAACUGGUA